rnacentral:rRNA from 1 species
UACAGAGGGUGCUAGCGUUGUUCGGAAUCAUUGGGCGUAAAGGGCGUGUAGGCGGUUUUGUUAAGUCAUGUGUGAAAUCCCUCGGCUCAACCGGGGGAACGACGCAUGAAACUGGCAGCUAGAGUACCAAAGAGGGGGGUGGAAUUCCCGGUGUAGCGGUGAAAUCGUAGAUAUCGGGGAGGAACACCUGUGGCGAAGGCGGCCCCCCUGGUUUGGAUACUGACGCUG